GGGCAAAUUCCAGAGUGGCCAAAUGGGGCAGACUGUAAAUCUGCUGGCUUACGCCUUCGGUGGUUCGAAUCCAUCUUUGCCCA
rnacentral:tRNA from 3 species